rnacentral:rRNA from 1 species
CACAAGCAGCGGAACGUGUGGUUUAAGUUCGAUGCAACGCGAAGAACCUUACCUACCCUUGACAUGUCCGGAAUCCCGAAGAGAUUUGGAGUGCUCGCAAGAGAACCGGAACACAGGUGCUGCAUGGCUGUCGUCAGCUCGUGUCGUGAGAUGUUGGGUUAAGUCCCGCAACGAGCGCAACCCUUGUCAUUAGUUGCCAUCAUUUGGUUGGGCACUCUAAUGAGACUGCCGGUGACAAACCGGAGGAAGGUGGGGAUGACGUCAAGUCCUCAUGGCCCUUAUGGGUAGGGCUUCACACGUCAUACAAUGGUCGGUACAGAGGGUUGCCAACCCGCGAGGGGGAGCUAAUCCCACAAAGCCGAUCGUAGUCCGGAUCGCAGUCUGCAACUCGACUGCGUGAAGUCGGAAUCGCUAGUAAUCGUGGAUCAGCAUGUCACGGUGAAUACGUUCCCGGGUCUU